GUUGGAUCUGCAAUGGGUGGCUGAGAUUGGGACUAAGUCUCCGAGUGACUUAUGACUAGCACGUCACCGAAGCUCAGUCCGGCGGACGGGCUUGUUGUUGCCGAUCUUAUCGCCGUCUGGUACAUCUCCCGCUCUGUGUGCACCAUCAAGAUGGAUACUCUCGCCUGGGCGCUUGCCACCGCAAGUGCUCUUCUUCACCGACAACAAGUCUUCCUCCGAUCUCACUUCAUACCCGAAUGAAUUUGAAGCUCAACUGCAAGAAAAGGGGGCGUAGUGAGACUUUCAUGGCCGAGUUCUUGAUCAUUGAUCUGAAUGUUUCUGUCAAAAACAAGAUUUAUUUGAGUGUGCAUAUUGUGAAACUUUGGGCGUUUCAGAUAUCCAUAUCCCUGUACAGUGUGCAGAUUGAGUGGGUCUUCAUUUACCUUUUUACAAAGUGAGAUAAAUAAGACAUCCUGUAUAAUAGGGCGACACUGUAAGGAUGAGCCGGUAAAGGUGUUAUGAGUACGCUUAAUCAGAUUCAUGUCAUUGGAGAAGGGUAAGUCGCAGUGAGCCAUUUUUAUGCUUGAUUGAUUUUUUUUGCAAGUGUUCAGGUUGGUAUAUACAUACUUUAUUUUUUGAAAUAUUUUGCGCUUACUUGUGGCUGAAUUCUAUAAUGAUCGCAAAAGAAGGCGAAGACGACCAGGGCUUCGCAACCAGUAGUUUUUUUCCGGAGGGCAGAAGGAGCAAAGUGCGAGCAUCUCAUACAUUUCCCUUUUAUUAUUCUUAUAAUUUGUACCUUCAUAAGCAAUGAAGGAUUAUGCCACAGAGGAUUGAAGCCCAGAAAGUUGCUACAUUGCGGGCUAGAGGAGACGUAGAAUGGGGUGAAAAAGAAAAUAAAAAGAUGCUAGUCAUUUGAGAACUGUUGUACUUGCAAUGUGCAUCAAAGUCGAAUGAUCUUUUACAUGCCUUGUUGUCCCUGGAGAUGUACAUGAAAGUAAUGAGGCGCUUGGAUGACAUUGUUGAUAAUUUGUACAGUAUGCCUAUCGGAUUUCGACCAUUUAUAUUGUUCCAAACGAAUUUAGUUCUGUAGAGAA